GAUGAAGAACGUAGCGAAAUGCGAUAAGUAAUGUGAAUUGCAGAAUUCAGUGAAUCAUCGAAUCUUUGAACGCACAUUGCGCCCGCUAGUAUUCUAGCGGGCAUGCCUGUCCGAGCGUCAUUUCAACCCUCAAGCCCCCGGGCUUGGUGUUGGGGAUCGGCGAGCCUCCGCGCCCGCCGUCCCCUAAAUCUAGUGGCGGUCCCGCUGUAGCUUCCUCUGCGUAGUAGCACACCUCGCACUGGGAAACAGCGCGGCCACGCCGUUAAACCCCCAACUUCUGAACGUUUGACCUCGGAUCAGGUAGGAAUACCCGCUGAACUUAAGCAUAUCAAUAAGCGGAGGA
rnacentral:misc_RNA from 1 species